GGGUAUUUCAAAAUAGACAAAAAUAAUCACGGUUAAAAAUAUGUGUCUAUGUCCCGCCUUGAACUGAUCGCAAUUGUGAUUUCGAGCGUAUAGGUCCGGGUACGUCAGUGUGUACUUCCGUAUGUCCGUAUGGGCUUCGGUGUGUUCGUCUGUACCAUCAAAUCUUUACAAUAGGCAAACAAAUAAUGAAUAGAGAAUAGUGAGUCAUAUAUGGAAUACUGUCCAAUCUUACCAACACUCAUUACGUUUCUUUUUUCAUGAUCUUCUAUCAUCUCAACUGGAUGCUAGUAGGGGCUUGAGAAUCUUGGCAGAAUUGCUG
rnacentral:lncRNA from 1 species